UUAACACAUGCAAGUCGAACGGUGAACACGGAGCUUGCUCUGUGGGAUCAGUGGCGAACGGGUGAGUAACACGUGAGCAACCUGCCCCUGACUCUGGGAUAAGCGCUGGAAACGGCGUCUAAUACUGGAUAUGUGACGUGACCGCAUGGUCUGCGUCUGGAAAGAAUUUCGGUUGGGGAUGGGCUCGCGGCCUAUCAGCUUGUUGGUGAGGUAAUGGCUCACCAAGGCGUCGACGGGUAGCCGGCCUGAGAGGGUGACCGGCCACACUGGGACUGAGACACGGCCCAGACUCCUACGGGAGGCAGCAGUGGGGAAUAUUGCACAAUGGGCGCAAGCCUGAUGCAGCAACGCCGCGUGAGGGAUGACGGCCUUCGGGUUGUAAACCUCUUUUAGCAGGGAAGAAGCGAAAGUGACGGUACCUGCAGAAAAAGCGCCGGCUAACUACGUGCCAGCAGCCGCGGUAAUACGUAGGGCGCAAGCGUUAUCCGGAAUUAUUGGGCGUAAAGAGCUCGUAGGCGGUUUGUCGCGUCUGCUGUGAAAUCCGGAGGCUCAACCUCCGGCCUGCAGUGGGUACGGGCAGACUAGAGUGCGGUAGGGGAGAUUGGAAUUCCUGGUGUAGCGGUGGAAUGCGCAGAUAUCAGGAGGAACACCGAUGGCGAAGGCAGAUCUCUGGGCCGUAACUGACGCUGAGGAGCGAAAGGGUGGGGAGCAAACAGGCUUAGAUACCCUGGUAGUCCACCCCGUAAACGUUGGGA
rnacentral:rRNA from 1 species